GGGGUUGUGGCUCAGUGGUAGAGUGCUUGCCUCGCAUGUAUGAGGCACUGGGUUCGAUCACCGGCACCACA
rnacentral:tRNA from 1 species